UACGUAGGCAGCGAGCGUUGUUCGGAGUUACUGGGCGUAAAGAGCGCGCAGGCGGUCGUUUUAAGUCGAAUGUGAAAGCCCCCCGGCUCAACUGGGGAGGGUCAUUCGAUACUGAUCGACUCGAAGGCAGGAGAGGGUAGUGGAAUUCCCGGUGUAGUGGUGAAAUGCGUAGAUAUCGGGAGGAACAUCAGUUGCGAAGGCGGCUCUCUGGACCAGCACUGACACUGAGGCACGAAAGCGUGGGGAGCAAACAGG
rnacentral:rRNA from 1 species